rnacentral:rRNA from 1 species
AUUGAACGCUGGCGGAAGGCCUAACACAUGCAAGUCGGGCGAGCGGCCGACGGGUGAGUAAUGUAUGGGGAUCUGCCUUAUGGAGGGGGCUAACUACUGGAAACGGUAGCUAAUACCGCAUACCAUCAGAUGAACCCAUAUGGGAUUAGCUUGUAGGUGAGGUAACGGCUCACCUAGGCGACGCUCACUAGCUGGUCUGAGAGUAUGAUCAGCCACACGGGGACUGAGACACGGCCCAUAUUCCUACGGGAGGCAGCAGUGGGGAAUAUUGCACAAUGGGCGAAAGCCUGAUGCAGCCAUGCCGUGUGUAUGAAGAAGGCCUCCGGGUUGUAAAGUACUUUCAGUCGAGAGGCGUUACCGACAGAAGAAGCACCGGCUAACCUCGUGCCAGCAGCCGCGGUAAUAC